rnacentral:lncRNA from 1 species
UGGCUUGUCUGUCUGUCUGUCUGUCUGUCUGUCUGUCUGUCUGUCUGUCUGUCUGUCUGUCUGUCUGUCUGUCUGUCUGUCUGUCUGUCUGUCUGUCUGUCUGUCUGUCUGUCUGUGUGUCUGUGUGUCUGUCUGUGUCUUUUACCCAUUGCAGCUUUAUCACCAAGUUUAUUGCCUUGAAUGCAAUGUAUUGAUGUAUGCAUCAAUAUCCUAUCUGGAGAGCUGGGAGAGAGGAGAGUGAGGAGGGAGAGGGAGAGAGAUGAGAGAGGGAGAUGGUGAAGAAGGGGGGACGGAGGGAAGAGGAGAGAGAAAGAGGUGGACUUUCUGGACCCCAGGCAGGGAAGAGUGAAGGCUUUCCCCAAUCAGGGAGGUCUGGGGAACUUCUCCAUCCUAAUCGAUGCCCUUCAGGCCUCAGACCUGGGCUCCUACUGCUGUGCGCUGCAGAAUCAUGACCAGUGCCAUCGAGUGGAAGUUGAGGAACUUGAACAAGGUUCACACAUCGUGUUGUUUUUCAGCGUCGGCAGUUUGGCCAUCCUCCUAGUGCUCCUAAGUGGCUGUUUCUGCUGGGUGAAAUGGACACGAGUUUCUACUGAAAGAACACCAGACUAUAUCAACACCCAUUUCUGUGCAGGAUCCAGUGCACCUCCUGAGGACGUCGCAUGUAGUGACAAUGUCGGGAGAGACGUGGCACAGGAGAGAGGAGUCGGCAAUGAGCGACUGAUCUAUGAAAACAAUGAGCACGAUCCGACCAGAAUGCAGCACGAUCCGACCAGAAUGCAGCACGAUCCGACCAGAAUGCAGCACGAUCCGACCAGAAUGCAGCACGAUCUGACCAGAAUGCAGCACGAUCUGUCCAGAAUUCACCAUGAUCCGUCCAGAAUUCACCAUGAUCCAACCAGAAUUCAACAUGAAGCACAAAGAAACCAGCACAAACCAGCUAGAUACAAAAAUAAAUUGAGAGAUUCGAGUGAGAAAAGAAGACAGGGGUUUCAUGGAGAACUCAUGAGCAGAUUGCGCCAAUCAAGUCUCGGACAGCGUUACUACGGUAAAGUCAGAACUUUGUAAUGAUCAAUUUACAGUAUAGGCUUGCAGUGAUACUUUAUGAACUCUGACAGCAAACCAAGCCGAGAUCAACCAGCAAGCCAGAGUUCAGAUGGACAACCACCAAAGAGCAAACGAAGCAAAGACCAACCAGGAGGGCAGAUCCCAAAUGGACAACUGCCAAAGAGGAAGCUUUUGGAGAAAGAAACCCAAAGAGCAAUGUGAAUAUGAAAACCCUAUCUAUAACAGUGCAGUCCAACUCAAACUGUAGACGAGGAUGAAGAGGAUACUGGGUCUAAACUCCUUGGUCUCACUUUUGUUUGGG